rnacentral:rRNA from 1 species
UCAGGAUGAACGCUGGCGGCGUGCCUAACACAUGCAAGUCGAACGGAAACCAGACGCUACUGCGAUUCGGUCAAGGUUGUCUGGUUUAGUGGCGGGCGGGUGAGUAACGCGUGGAUAACCUGCCAUAUACAGGGGGAUAACGGUUAGAAAUGACUGCUAAUACCGCAUAAGCGCACAGUCUCGCAUGGGACAGUGUGAAAAGCCGAGACGGUAUAUGAUGGAUCCGCGUCUGAUUAGCCAGUUGGCGGGGUAACGGCCCACCAAAGCGACGAUCAGUAGCCGGCCUGAGAGGGUGAACGGCCACAUUGGGACUGAGACACGGCCCAAACUCCUACGGGAGGCAGCAGUGGGGGAUAUUGCACAAUGGGGGAAACCCUGAUGCAGCGAACCGCCGCGUGAGUGAAGAAGUAUUUCGGUAUGUAAAGCUCUAUCAGCAGGGAAGAUAAUGACGGUACCUGACUAAGAAGCACCGGCUAAAUACGUGCCAGCAGCAGC